CUUUUAUUAUGAUGUUUUUGCCCUACUUACAGGUUGGGUAAGUUUAACUAUAAUACAGUAAUUUAAUGUCCUUGAAUAUGAGUUGCUGUAAGAAUGGUUAUGUACUACCACUGAGCUGUAUUGAGAAUUUCAACUAUUUGUAUACAUUUGUGGUUAGUUCUUUGAUCUUACUUUCAAUUUUGAAUUGAGAAUAGCAUAAGAAACUUGUAAAAUUUCUCAGAUGUCCUUCUCUGGGUGACUAUGUUCAAGUCUCAAAAUUUGCUGAAGUUGUUUUGGGUCUCUCCUUUAAUCCCUAUGACCUUUGGAUCUGGUAAUAAGCACUUCAAGUUUUCCUGCAGUCUCUCUCUUCUUUCUUUGGCAUAAUGACAUACAUGGGGCAUGUCCUGAAGUGUUCUGGGAUCUAAAUGUUUUUGCAUAUAAAAAAAAUCUAUCUUUUCUGGAGAUGUCCUUAAAUUUUCAUUCUUUGCUUUGAAAAACCAUUUAAGCAUCAGGGUAUGACCCGGCUCCAACACACAUACUAAGACAGCUCAUCUCAGUGAGGUUUUUGAUGUAAACAUUCAUCAUAUAUAUAUAUGAAUACAAUUAUUUCUACUUUAUAGUGGCUAAAAAUACAACCUUUAAAACUGUCCUAAAAUGAUUAUUUCUUACAGUGAUGUAAAUCUCAGCAUUCAAAAUUCAAUUACCAUUUUUUUCUUUUUUUAAAAAAACAUAUUUCUCCAAAUACUUUCUUUGUGCAAAAAUAGUAUUACUUAUAAUUAGUAUUUACAUUAGAUUUACUACUUUUGAAUAUCAGGAGAUAUUGACUACACCUCCAAAUUCAGCAAGGGAUGUUCACUGUAAUUCUCUGCUGUUGAGCAUGUAACCUACAAUAGGGAGAUUGAGGGUUCACUGUAUAUUUUUUUGCUUCAGACAGUAUGUUUCUCUCACAGUUGGACCCAAUUGAAUUCCAUUCUCCUGUAGGACUUCAGGGAACACUGGCUGGAGUUGUUAGAAUAGUGUUUGUUUUAGAAGUAUAUUCUGUCUUUAGAUCCGUACACUGGGUUUCCACUGAGGUUGUUAUAUGUCCACUGAAACUAAUAGAAAAUCUCUGUAUGAUGCUUUAACUUCAAGUGGAUAACGAAUCUGGUUUCCUAAGAGACCGCUUCUUUUGGGCUGCCAUAUUUCUACAACUUAUAAAAUCAAAUACUCUCAAGCAGGACGCUGGUGGAGUUGUUCCUCAUGAGGAGGGGUCAGCAAAAUGCCAACUCCCUGCAGGAUUUUUCUUCCCACUUGGCUUGCAGUAUUUGCACUGGCUUGUGCCCACCUUCCUACCAUCUAUCUUUCAUACUUUCUCCUUGUGGCAUACAAAUUUGGGAUUGGCAUUAAGAGUGCUUGAUCUUGCCUCAAAAUAAGAUAUGAUACAAAUCUAAUGACUAAGGCAACCCUGCAAUCCAUUUUUUCUCAUCAACUUUGAAGAAUUGAGUACGUUUGUGUUUUGACGUUUUGAAAGUAGCAUGCCUGUUACUGCUCUGUGCUUCUGAGGAGCAAGCUUCAAGAACACAGGAGUAAAAUAUGCACUAAUUAAUAAAAAUAAUAAGAAGUUAGGUCUACAAAGUUUUGGUAGUAUCUAACAAGUUUUGCUUAUAAUGUGAUAUUAUUCAUUCUCAUUAUACACCUUCCUAUCAGGGCAGCAAUGAAUUUGUCCCCAGGCAUUUCCCUGCUGUGUUGAUCAAAUCCAGGCAUUGCAUGCAAAUACAAGGUAUGCUUAGGAGUUGCAAAACAUAGUCUGUGGCUGCUUGUUUCUGACCCUGGCAUCUGGGUGAUUGGCUCCAUCCUCCUCUCUGACCUCUUGUCCAGCUUCACUGCUCAACACUGUAGCAGCUGCGAAAGUGUCCACAGGGGCUGGCAAAGGGUUAGAUGGCUGCUGGGUAAUUAUGCAGAUGUGGCUGUCAGGAAUUUAGCUCCCUGUUUGAUGUCUGGGUACAGUACAGCAAAACAACAUUCUGAUUUUUUUUCUUUUUUUUUUCACAGUCUCUCUCUGCAGACUGCACACUUGUAAUGGUUUUAAAAGACUGCCCAAAGGUAUUUUCUUGGAAAAUAAAGAAAAAAAAAACCACUCAUGCUUGGGCCCCUGGGCCGGUGUACACCGGUGCUGCUGUUACACACAUUGUAUUUGUGGGACAGUGACAUAAGGGAGGUUACACUUCAGAACUAUAGGGUGCAGUUUUGAUCAUUGUGUCUCAAAAAAUAAAUAAGGACACCAAAAAAAAAAAAAACCCUGUAUUUUUCCUCCAGAUAAAAAUAUUAUAUUUUCUUAGUCUUGGGAUAGUGACAAAUUAAUCCACUCUUUCCCAUUUUCUAUUAUUAACAGAAAUGAGUCUACCAAAGUCUAUAAGCAGACAGGAUUGUUCCUGUCUCCUCUACCAUUUUUAUAACAAUGUUGGCAGAUCUACUGCACAAACCUACACCACAAAGUACAGCACAACCACUGAGCUAUUAAAUCUGCCACAAAACCAGUUGGUUUUGAGUACAUGUAGUAAUAUAGCUGUACGAGCCCCAGAACAUACUGCAGCCUGAAAUGCCACUGAGCGUGGGAGCAGUGGUAUCACAAUCCUGUGGUAUGCAUGUGGGAGCCAUGGCAGGAGGGAGCCUACUGGAGAAGUUUGUCUGUGUUUAUGAAGACUGGUGCAUGCUCGCAGAAGUGAUGAGUGUGUUGUUCCUCAUCAAAAAGUUUCUGUUUGAAAGGAGAACACUGAAAACUGGCAUACUGUCAGAAGGUGGUUUUCUGAUGGCAAUAUUAUAAUAAUGUUGACUUUUAAUUAAGUGAAGUUGACAUAUUUUAAGUCUGCAGAUUAACCAUCUGUUGUUGCAUUAAUGAAUAUCCUUCAUAGCAUCGGUUCAUGACCCAUGUUUUGUUAUGUUUUUCUUUUUUCUUUUUUUUUAAUUCCCCUAGACAGCUUUCUGAAACGUAUACUUGUUGAUUAAGGCAUGAAAUGUUGGCCAGAAUCAAUUUGGAUGAGGCAUUUACCCACUGCUGGGAAAUGAACUUUGUGCACAGGAUUGUAUUUUCCAUAUUUCUGCUUUCCUUCAUGGUUAAAAUGUUUCCAAGCAAGAAUUUUUGAUAGUUGUCAUCACUGUGCCAAAUAACCUCCUUUAAGCAGCUCCUUCUGAUUUAUGGAUUGUGAGGAAUCCCUGUUAGUGUAUGUUAUGCAUAGAAAAUUAAACUUGGGAAUGCUUCUUUUUAUUUAUAAAGGUGGGAUAUUUCAAAUGAGUGUGUUAUCUUAAGCAUGAGAUCUUCGUGUAUGUGAUUUGUAUAUUGAAUUUUUAUCUUCAACACCAGAUGUAUUGUGCAUAAAACAAAUAUUGUUUUGUAA
rnacentral:lncRNA from 1 species